rnacentral:rRNA from 1 species
GUACACACCGCCCGUCACACCAUGAGAGUUGGGAAUACCCGAAGCCUGUGAGCUAACUUUUAGAGGCAGCAGUCGAAGGUAGAAUCAAUGAUUGGGGUGAAGUCGUAACAAGGUAUC